rnacentral:rRNA from 1 species
UACGAAGGGGGCUAGCGUUGCUCGGAAUUACUGGGCGUAAAGGGCGCGUAGGCGGCACUGUUAGUCAGGCGUGAAAGUCCUGGGCUCAACCUGGGAACUGCGCUUGAUACGGCAGAGCUAGAGGAUGGAAGAGGCUCGCGGAAUUCCCAGUGUAGAGGUGAAAUUCGUAGAUAUCGGGAGGAACACCGGUGGCGAAGGCGGCGACCUGGGUCGAUACUGACGCUGAGGUGCGAAAGCGUGGGGAGCAAACAGG